UACGGACGGGGCGGGCGUUACUCAUCUUUACUGGGCGUAAAGGGUGCGUAGGUGGUUUUUAAGAGAGCAUUUCUAAAAGCUUUUGUGAGAAUGAUUUGCUUGUAUAAGACUUGAGUUUAGGAGAAGAGAGCGGUACUCACAGUGUAGAGGUGAAAUUCGGAGAUAUUGACGAGGACCAUCGAUGGCGAAAGCAGUAAUCUAUUCUAACACUGACGCUGAGGCACGAAAGCGUGGGGAUCAAACAGG
rnacentral:rRNA from 1 species